UGUAUUUAUACGGUGGAUUUUUUAGGUAGUUUUUUAUUUGGGUACUUUUUAUUGUCUAGUGGUUUAGAUUUUUUAAAUAUCGUUUAUUACUUUGGUUUUUAAAGUUAACUUAGCAGAGUACUUGUUACUCUUUGAGUUAGUGUGGAGGUAUGGUUGUCAUUUUUAGUAGCUUUCAGGGUCUGUUGUAUGGUUUGAGGUUUAGUAAGUUGGUUGGACUUCUUUUUCUAGUGAGUUUUGUGAUUUGUUUUGUGGGUUUCUUUAGGGGUGUUUUUUAUUUUUGUUUCAUUUUUGUGAUGUGUCUCGCUAACAAGUGUUAGUGAAAAGAGUGUAGCGUGGGUUUGUUUUUGCUGGUAGCCGGUUCUAUGGUGGUGUAUUUUUAGUUUGAGUUGUUUGUUUUUGGUUUUCUGUUGUUAGAGAUCAAAGUUUUUAUUUUGGGCUUAAUUUGUAAUUAUUUUUAAGGUUUUAGGGUGAUUGAGAUUUUUGAUACGGAUGUCCUGUAUGAUAAGAGUUAAUUUAUUUGCUUUAUGUGGAAUUGAUGGCAGGGUAGAGGACAUUUUUGUAUAGAAUGUGUAUUUUAAUCAUAGUAUUAAAAUAAUACCAUGGUAAGAGGGGCUGUGUUUUAUUCUCUGUGUUCGAGGUGGUUUGGCAUUUUCUUAUAGGUUGGGCUUUUUUUUGUUGGCUCGUGGAGCCAUUCUGACUUUUUUUUUGAUGAAAUUGGUGGGAAUUUGAUGUUUCUUUUGUUAUUUUAUUUUUAGGAAUUGUAUCUUUGCAGUAGUCUUUUUGAUUUUGCUUUUUUUUUUUUUUUUGUGGUGUAGUAGUCUUUUAGAAGAAUUUGGCUGAUUUUUAAAAAUAUUUUUGUUAUACUUUUCAUCUAAUGUUGUUGGAUUAUUACAGAUAUUUUGGAGUUUGAUUUUUUAGGUUUCAUUUGGAGGAAUUUAUGCUAGAUGGUAGGACUGUGUUUUUAUUUUUGGGGUAGUUGGUUGUAGGUGUAUUGUAUGUUUUUCAAAUGAAGGUAAAAUGAGGUUUGUAAUCAGUUGUUAGAGGAAUGGAGAAAAAUGUAUUGGUAAUGUUUACAGUGGUGUGUUAUUUUGUGGUUUUUGAUUUUAGUUGGUAUUGGAGUUUUAAUAAGUUUGGUACAGUAGUGUUUAAUGGUGGAGUUAUUCAAGGUAUGAUAGUUUAGAGGUAAUUCUUAUUUGUUUUAGAUUUGUGUGUAGGUUAGAGGAGGUUGUUGAAGGGCGAGUGUGUUUUGUAGAUGAAUUUUAGUGCUUCAGUUUAUAGAGCAUUUUUUGGAUGGGAGUUACAGUAUUUUGACUUGUUUGGCAUCACUGGUGAUGUAUUGUUCAGGUGGUGAGGAGUAUUUGUUGGGUUUUUUUAAAGAAGGUUUAUUGUCGAUAGUUUUAGAUAGUUGUGGUGGGUUGCUUAAUUGUUUGAUGUUUUUUAGCUUUUUAGUAGUUAUUUAAAAUAUGUUAGAGUUUUUUUUGGGUUUAUUGAAUUACUUGAUUUUGAGGAAGUUCCGAUUUAGAAUGUAUGGUUUUUUUGGCUUAAAAUAAAAAUGCUAUAUUUUUAGUGAGACUUAUUUUUCUUUUCUUUUCUUACUGCUAUAUUUUGUGAUAUUUGUCUUAGGUUAGAAUUAGGAAUAGCUUUAUUUUUAUAUGUUGAAAUGAGGGUGGUGUGUACUGCGUACUGGUGUUCAUAAAGGUUUAAUAUUUUUGUGGUUCUGAUGUGUUAGGUUAAUGAACUUAUAAAGUUUACUAGACUUUUUGUUUUUAUUUUGAUACAGGUAGGGUUUUCUUCAUUUUAAGGAUUUCUUCGGCACAGAUUGAGAGGCCUUAUUGAGGGGAAAGGACAGGGUGUCUCUGUUAAUCUAUUUGGCAAUUUGGAUAUUGGGUAAAUAAAGUUAAUGUUUUGGUAGAAUUUUUGGGUUUAGUUAAUUUAUUUAUUUAUGAAUUUGUGUGCCUACAGCUGUAGUGUCUCUGCUGACACUCUGAGUAUCCAUUCAUGUCUGUGUGCAUUAGGCAGUCCAGUCGUGUAACACCGAGACCCCCUCUGCAACCAGCCCGCAGACCCGCUCCUUCGACCUCGUGGGAAUUCGGGAAGCGGCACACGGCUCUGCGAGGGAGCCUGGAUCUCUGUCACUUGAAGGUGUCACCCAGGGAGCUUUCAGGAGCGGCUGAGGAGUUGCUGCAGAUCCUGCCAGGAGGGCGUGGGUGAAGCGUGCAGCCCGAGGAGCCCAGCGUUCUUAGGAGAAUGGCGAG